rnacentral:rRNA from 1 species
CCUACGGGUGGCAGCAGGGAGGAAGAGUGGGCAAGGGGCGGGAGCCUGAACCAGCCAAGCCGCGGGAAGGAAGAAGGCGCCAGGAGGCGUAAACUUCUUUUGUCGGGGAACAAAGGGCGCCACGCGUGGCGUUGUGAGUGUACCCGAUGAAAAAGCAUCGGCUAACUCCGUGCCAGCAGCCGCGGUAAUACGGAGGAUGCGAGCGUUAUCCGGAUUUAUUGGGGUUAAAGGGUGCGUAGGCGGCCCGGAAAGUCAGCGGGAAAAGCCCGGGGCUCAACCCCGGCGAGCCGUUGAAACUGUCGGACUAGAGGCGGCGAGAGGUACGCGGAAUGCGCGGUGUAGCGGUGAAAUGCAUAGAUAUCGCGCAGAACUCCGAUUGCGAAGGCAGCGUACCGG